GGCAAAUGAUACAAGCAGUUCUCAGCAAGUAGUCAAGGAAAUUGCAAGAAAGAAUGAUGAACCCAUCAAUAACACAAGCAGCUCUCAGGAAAUAAUCAAAGAAAUUAUCAUGAACAAUACAGUAAAGCUCAACAAUACAAGCAGCAAACAGACAAUAGCGGGAGACAUUAUAACUAAGAAUAAAACUGAGCCUGUAUCUGUAUGCAAUAUGCUGGAAAGAUCAGAUUUCUGUGAGAUCAAAGGGGACAUCAGGAUUGAUGCAAACUCUUCCACUGUUUAUAUUGUCUCAUCUGAAAUUGAUAUCUUGGCAGCUUCGGCAAACACCUCAUGGACUAUCAAGCCUUAUGCGAGAAAAGGUGACAGAGCAGCAAUGAGCAUGGUCAGGGAAUGGACACUGAAAAUGGUAAAGGAUCAUCAGAAUACCCUUAAAUGCACUCAAAUUCACAAUGUUCCCGCAAUCCUUUUUUCUCUAGGAGGAUAUUCUGGCAACCAUUUCCAUGCCUUCACCGACAUUAUUCUUCCUCUGUACUCGACUGCUCAACCCUUUAAUGGAGAUGUACAACUUCUUGUUACUGACAGAAAACCUUGGUGGGUUGCCAAGUUCAAUGUAUUGUUGAACGCAUUGUCUAGAUAUGAGAUUAUUGAAAUAGGUAAGAGAGGAGAAAGCACUCAUUGCUUCUCAAGCAUAACUGUUGGUCUUAAACGACAAUCCAGCAAAGAGCUCAAUCUUGAUUCCAUGGGAGACUUCAGGCAGUUCUUAAGAAGUUCAUAUUCGUUAAGGAAGACAACUGCGAUCAAAAUCAAUAAUGGAGGGUUGAAGAAAAGGCCUCGGCUUGUGAUCAUUUCAAGACAGAGAUCAAGAAAAUUUAGCAAUAUAGGCGAAAUUGCUCAAUUGGCAAAAAGAUUGGGUUACAAAGUAGUUGUGUUUGAACCUGACGCAAAUGUUUCAAGAUCCGCACAAGUAAUGAAUUCUUGUGAUGUGGUGAUGGGAGUUCAUGGAGCAGGUUUAACCAACAUGGUGUUUCUUCCAUUAAAUGCAAUCUUGAUCCAAGUAAUACCCUUUGGAGGGGCAGAAUGGGUAUCAAAAACUUACUUUCAAGAGCCUGCAAAGGAUAUGAACAUAAGGUACUUGGAGUAUAAGAUCAGUUUAAAAGAAAGCUCUUUGUUUGAGCAAUACCCUGCUGAUCAUGUGGUUCUAAGGAACCCCUAUGCGAUCCAAAAACAGGGUUGGGAAGCAUUUAGGUCAAUAUACUUUGAUAAGCAAAAUGUAAAGCUGGAUUUGGAUGGAUUUAGACACACUUUGUUAAAAGCUUUAGAGCUUCUACAUCAGUAAAUUUUAUUUCCU
rnacentral:misc_RNA from 1 species